rnacentral:rRNA from 1 species
GUGAGGAAUAUUGGGCAAUGGAGGCAACUCUGACCCAGCCAUGCCGCGUGCAGGAAGACGGUCCUAUGGAUUGUAAACUGCUUUUAUACGGGAAGAAACACCCCCUCGUGAGGGGACUUGACGGUACCGUAAGAAUAAGGAUCGGCUAACUCCGUUCCAGCAGCCGCGGUAAUACGGAGGAUCCAAGCGUUAUCCGGAAUCAUUGGGUUUAAAGGGUCCGUAGGCGGACUUAUAAGUCAGUGGUGAAAUCUCCUAGCUCAACUAGGAAACUGCCAUUGAUACUGUAGGGCUUGAAUUAUUGUGAAGUAACUAGAAUAUGUAGUGUAGCGGUGAAAUGCUUAGAUAUUACAUGGAAUACCAAUUGCGAAGGCAGGUUACUAACAAUAUAUUGACGCUGAUGGACGAAAGCGUGGGUAGCGAACAGGAUUAGAUACCCUUGUAGUCC